rnacentral:rRNA from 1 species
AGUAACGCGUAGGUAACCUGCCUUGUAGCGGGGGGAGUAACUAUUGGAAACGAUAGCUAAUACCGCAUAACAAUGGAUGACACAUGUCAUUUAUUUGAAAGGGGCGAAUUGCUCCACUACAAGAUGGACCUGCGUUGUAUUAGCUAGUAGGUGAGGUAACGGCUCACCUAGGCGACGAUACAUAGCCGACCUGAGAGGGUGAUCGGCCACACUGGGACUGAGACACGGCCCAGACUCCUACGGGAGGCAGCAUG